rnacentral:rRNA from 1 species
UUAGGUUAAGGUUGUGCUUGGCCUGCUCCUCUUACCUGGUCUUUUGAGUACCUCUCGUUUCGUCGGCGGGUCCGCCCGCCGAUUGGACAACAUUCAAACCCUUUGCAGUUGCAAUCAGCGUCUGAAAAAACAUAAUAGUUACAACUUUCAACAACGGAUCUCUUGGUUCUGGCAUCGAUGAAGAACGCAGCGAAAUGCGAUAAGUAGUGUGAAUUGCAGAAUUCAGUGAAUCAUCGAAUCUUUGAACGCACAUUGCGCCCCUUGGUAUUCCAUGGGGCAUGCCUGUUCGAGCGUCAUUUGUACCUUCAAGCUCUGCUUGGUGUUGGGUGUUUGUCUCGCCUCUGCGUGUAGACUCGCCUUAAAACAAUUGGCAGCCGGCGUAUUGAUUUCGGAGCGCAGUACAUCUCGCGCUUUGCACUCAUAACGACGACGUCCAAAAGUACAUUUUUACACUCUUGACCUCGGAUCAGGUAGGGAUACCCGCUGAACUUAAGCAUAUCAAUAAGCGGAGGAA